AGCUUUGCACAGUGGUGGUAUGGUAUCCAGUGAGGUUUAUCUGAAGCACAAUUAUUGCUGAUUCAAAACUUGGCCCAACUUGUC
rnacentral:snRNA from 1 species